UACGGGGGGGGCAAGCGUUGUUCGGAAUUACUGGGCGUAAAGGGCUCGUAGGCGGCCAACUAAGUCAUACGUGAAAUCCCCCGGCUUAACCGGGGAACUGCGUCUGAUACUGGAUGGCUUGAGUUCGGGAGAGGGAUGCGGAAUUCCAGGUGUAGCGGUGAAAUGCGUAGAUAUCUGGAGGAACACCGGUGGCGAAGGCAAUCCCCUGGGCCUGCACUGACGCUCAUGCACGAAAGCGUGGGGAGCAAACAGG
rnacentral:rRNA from 1 species